rnacentral:rRNA from 1 species
UUGGAGGGCAAGUCUGGUGCCAGCAGCCGCGGUAAUUCCAGCUCCAAUAGCGUAUAUUAAAGUUGUUGCAGUUAAAAAGCUCGUAGUUGAAUUUCGAGAUCAAAUUGUUGGUCGUGCCUCGGUACGUACUGGCAUUAUUGAUUUCUCCUUUCUGAAGAACCUUGAUGUCAUUAAUUUGGUGUCUUGGGGAAUCAGGACCGUUACUUUGAAAAAAUUAGAGUGUUUAAAGCAGGCUCACGCUUGAAUACAUUAGCAUGGAAUAAUGAAAUAGGACGUUUGAUUCUAUUUGUUGGUUUCUAGGAUCGACGUAAUGAUUAAUAGGGAUAGUUGGGGGCAUUAGUAUUCAAUUGUCAGAGGUGAAAUUCUUGGAUUUAUUGAAGACUAACUACUGCGAAAGCAUUUGCCAAGGAUGUUUUCAUUAAUCAAGAACGAAAGUUAGGGGAUCGAAGACGAUCAGAUACCGUCGUAGUCUUAACCAUAAACUAUGCCGACUAGGGAUCGGAUGAUGUUAAUUUUUUAAUGACUCAUUCGGCGCCUUACGGGAAACCAAAGUGUUUGGGUUC